AUGCACUGGCCUCACUGAUUCCUCCUUCCUGAUGAGCGUAAUGCCAUUAAUUGGUGUUGUGGGAAUUGGACUGUUACUUUGAAAAAUUAGAGUGUUUAAAGCAAGCUAACGCUUGAAUACAUUAGCAUGGAAUAAUGAAAUAGGACGUUCGAUCCUAAUUUUGUUGGUUUUCUAGGAUUGACGUAAUGAUUAAUAGGGAUAGUUGGGGGCAUUAGUAUUCAAUUGUCAGAGGUAAAUUCUUGGAUUUAUUGAAGACUAACUACUGCGAAAGCAUUUGCCAAGGAUGUUUUCAUUAAUCAAGAACGAAAGUUAGGGGAUCGAAGACGAUCAGAUACCGUCGUAGUCUUUAACCAUAAACUAUGCCGACUAGGGAUCGGAUGAUGUUAAUUUUUUAAUGACUCAUUCGGCGCCUUACG
rnacentral:rRNA from 1 species